GGAAAAAUCUGAGCCAAAGUGUCCCGAGGACACAUUUUUCCCACAUCGAGUUUCCUAUGUUUUCUCUCUUUCUUUCUUUCUUUAAGUUUUCUGUUGUUCCUUUUACUUGCAGAAUUUCCCUUUGUAUUUUGCAGGUACUGAAAGGUGUAACUAAAGGAAGAGAAGUGAGAAGAGCAGCUGGGCACUAGAGUGUCGAGUGAAGGCGGCAGGACGGUCGGGAACCAAGUGGUGUAACCUCCGGCU
rnacentral:lncRNA from 1 species